rnacentral:ncRNA from 2 species
UAAUAAUUCAAACUCCAAGCUAGCUGAACCUAAUGAGCAAUCGAUGGUUCUCUGGCCAGGGCUUAAGCCCUCGGGGUUUAUUCGGAAACGGGUAUGCCUUCACAUUUGAAAAGGAGUGGACUGGCUGGCAAG